rnacentral:rRNA from 1 species
AACGAACGCUGGCGGCAGGCCUAACACUUGCAAGUCGAGCGAGACCUUCGGGUCUAGCGGCGGACGGGUGAGUAACGCGUGGGAACGUGCCCUUUUCUACGGAAUAGCCUCGGGAAACUGAGCGUAAUACCGUAUACGCCCUUUGGGGGAAAGAUUUAUCGGAGAAGGAUCGGCCCGCGUUGGAUUAGGUAGUUGGUGGGGUAAUGGCCUACCAAGCCUACGAUCCAUAGCUGGUUUGAGAGGAUGAUCAGCCACACUGGGACUGAGACACGGCCCAGACUCCUACGGGAGGCAGCAGUGGGGAAUCUUAGACAAUGGGGGCAACCCUGAUCUAGCCAUGCCGCGUGAGUGAUGAAGGCCUUAGGGUUGUAAAGCUCUUUCAGCUGGGAAGAUAAUGACGGUACCAGCAGAAGAAGCCCCGGCUAACUCCGUG